UACGAAGGGGGCUAGCGUUGUUCGGAAUUACUGGGCGUAAAGCGCACGUAGGCGGCUUUGUAAGUCAGAGGUGAAAGCCCGGAGCUUAACUCCGGAAUUGCCUUUGAGACUGCAUCGCUUGAAUCCAGGAGAGGUGAGUGGAAUUCCGAGUGUAGAGGUGAAAUUCGUAGAUAUUCGGAAGAACACCAGUGGCGAAGGCGGCUCACUGGACUGGUAUUGACGCUGAGGUGCGAAAGCGUGGGGAGCAAACAGG
rnacentral:rRNA from 1 species